rnacentral:rRNA from 1 species
GCGUAUUUGGUGCCUGCGGCCUGUGUAAUGCAGGGUGUCCGAGCGUUUUUCGGAUUCACUGGGCGUAAAGGGUUGGUAGGCGGUUCUGAAAGUGUGAUGUGAAAUCUCCGGGCCCAACCCGGAAAUGGCAUUAGAAACUACAGGGCUAGAGGGUUGGAGGGGGAACUGGAAUUCUCGGUGUAGCAGUGAAAUGCGUAGAGAUCGAGAGGAACACCAGUGGCGAAGGCGAGUUCCUGGACAAGUCCUGACGCUGAGGCACGAAAGCCAGGGGAGCAAACAGGAUUAGAUACCCGAGUAGUC